CCCUACCUUCCACUGUCCGCUCUCCGUUGCCCUAAUCUGUAUCUCCCUCAAUCGUUCACAAUCUGAAACCACCAUUGUCGUUGCCUGUCCAGCUCGUGUUAGGAGGUGUUGUCGUUGGCGUUACGCUUCUUCCUCACUCCUCCAUUAUAGUGUUCUGAACUGAGGAAGGUGGUGGGUGGUUGAGUUGAAGGCUACCAUUGUCGAGGGAGGAUAUUUGACGAGGGGGCGUAGACGAGGCAGCGUAAGCAGGGGAGUGUCGCUGUGUGACAAGGUCUUCCACUACCGCUGUAGAGGCUAUUGAAGGGGCUACCGUCGAGAUACAAAGUUAUCAAACCUAUAUCCCUCCUAGAAAAGUCUACUAAAGAGGUGAGUAUUUA